rnacentral:rRNA from 1 species
AAGUCGAGGGGUAACAGGGGUAGCAAUACCUGCUGACGACCGGCAAACGGGUGUCGGAACACGUACGCAACCUUCCCAAAACUGGUGAAUAGCCCUCCGAAAGGAGGAUUAAUACACCGUAACAUAAUGAAGUGGCAUCACUUUAUUAUUAUAACUCCGGUGGUUUUGGAUGGGCGUGCGACUGAUUAGGUAGUUGGCGGGGUAACGGCCCACCAAGCCUGCGAUCAGUAACUGGUGUGAGAGCACGACCAGUCACACGGGCACUGAGACACGGGCCCGACUCCUACGGGAGGCAGCAGUAAGGAAUAUUGGUCAAUGGACGAAAGUCUGAACCAGCCAUGCCGCGUGAAGGAUGAAGGUCCUCUGGAUUGUAAACUUCUUUUAUAGGGGACGAAAAAAGGGAAUUCUUUCUCACUUGACGGUACCCUAGGAAUAAGCACCGGCUAACUCCGUGCCAGCACCCGCGGUAAUACGGAGGGUGCAAGCGUUAUCCGGAUUCACUGGGUUUAAAGGGAGCGUAGGUGGGCAGGUAAGUCAGUGGUGAAAUCUCCGGGCUUAACCCGGAAACUGCCAUUGAUACUAUUUGUCUUG